UAUGAUAAGGCUACCAUGCGCACCAUUGGCCCAGGUCGGACGCGGAGGCGCCUCCUCAUUUGGCUGUGCGCAAGAAUAGCGAAUCAGGAAACAUCUACGCGCUCCAUUUCCUGGCUGGUUUCCUGGCUUUGGGAGGCGACUCCCUGCUGUUAAUGCAGUGAGAGAGGAGCAGAGGAGCAGCCAGACGAGCAGAGACAGCCGCCACCUCACACUGGGUGAUGACUGAACUAACUCCAUCUUGCACACUAAUAAUACAGCAUCAGCGGCCCUUGGUGCUGAGCUUGCAGACCAGUGAUAUCUCUAACUCUAUUUUGUGUUUAAGAUCAUAAAUUCCUUAUCAAAAGUAUGAAAGUGUCAU